UUGCAAUGAUGACACUUAGGACACCUUUGCAAUAACCAUGAAACCAACUUACCGUCUGAGCAAC